rnacentral:ribozyme from 1 species
CUUUUUUUUUUUUUUUUUUUUUUUUUUUUUUUUUUUUUUUUUUUCAUUC